rnacentral:rRNA from 1 species
ACGAGUUUGAUCCUGGCUCAGAUUGAACGCUGGCGGAAUGCUUUACACAUGCAAGUCGAACGGUAGAGGGGGCAACCCCUUGAGAGUGGCGAACGGGUGAGUAAUAUAUCGGAACGUGCCCGGUCGUGGGGGGAUAACGUAGCGAAAGCUACGCUAAUACCGCAUACGAUCUACGGAUGAAAGCGGGGGAUCGCAAGACCUCGCGCGAUUGGAGCGGCCGAUAUCAGAUUAGGUAGUUGGUGAGGUAAAGGCUCACCAAGCCGACGAUCUGUAGCUGGUCUGAGAGGACGACCAGCCACACUGGGACUGAGACACGGCCCAGACUCCUACGGGAGGCAGCAGUGGGGAAUUUUGGACAAUGGGCGCAAGCCUGAUCCAGCAAUGCCGCGUGCAGGAUGAAGGCCUUCGGGUUGUAAACUGCUUUGUACGGAACGAAACGGUGAGCUCUAAUACAGUUUGCUAAUGACGGUACCGUAAGAAUAAGCACCGGCUAACUACGUG